CAUUAUCGAAAUCCGAGUGAGAGAGGACUGUCGCUAUCACGCGUGAUGUGCACGUCCUUUCUUUCUUGUUCUCUCACACCUGUGCACCUACUGUAGGCCCUCGCAAGAGGAUCUAUGUCUUUCAUAUCACACCGAUCAUAUGUCCAUAGAAUGUACUGAGAUCGACCGUCGACUCCUAGAGGGUCGGGAGGCGAUCAACGAAAAAUAUAUACAACUUUCAGCAAUGGAUCUCUUGGCUCUCGCAUCGAUGAAGAACGCAGCGAAUUGCGAUAAGUAAUGUGAAUUGCAGAUUUUCAGUGAAUCAUCGAAUCUUUGAACGCACCUUGCGCUCCUUGGUAUUCCGAGGAGCAUGCCUGUUUGAGUGUCAUUGAAUUCUCAACCAUGUCGAGGCAUGGCUUGGACUUGGGGGUUGUUGGCUUCGAAAGAAGUCAGCUCUCCUGAAAUGCAUUAGCAAAAGAUCAGCAAGUCUGGCAUGCAUGGUAUGGCCUUUCGACGUGAUAACGAUCGUCGUGAGACCAGAAGUGUUCAGACUGGGUGUGAUUUGCUUCCAACCCCAGAUGGGACUUGGCCUAGCUUAGCUACUAGUUGGCCCAAAUAGGGCUGGCGAACGCAGGCGGAGACCAGUUCUGACCCUUGGUUUUGACUUGACCUCAAAUCAGGUAGGACUACCCGCUGAACUUAAGCAUAUCAAUAAGCGGA
rnacentral:rRNA from 1 species